CACGCCGUAAACAAUGUGCGUUAGGUGUGUCGGUAACCACGCGUUACUGAUGCGCCGAAGAGAAAUCGUGAAACGCACCACCUGGGAAGUACGGUCGCAAGGCUGAAACUUAAAGGAAUUGGCGGGGGGAGGCACCACAACAGGUGGAGCCUGCGGUUUAAUUUGGAUUCAACGCCGGACAUCUCACCGGAUAAGACAGCUGAAUGAUUGUCAAUCUGAAGGUUUUACAUGACUAGCUGAGAGGAGGUGCAUGGC
rnacentral:rRNA from 1 species